GCAUCGUUAGCUCAGCAGGCAGAGCAACUGGCUCUUAACCAGUGGGUCACAGGUUCGAAACCUGUACGGUGUACCA
rnacentral:tRNA from 1 species